GCUGUGGCUCAGUGGCAGAGCAUGUGCUUGGUACGCACAAGGUCUACGUUCACUCUCCAGCAUCUCCA
rnacentral:tRNA from 1 species